GACGAACGCUGGCGGCGCGCUUAACACAUGCAAGUCGAACGGAAAGGCCUGCUUUCCCUUGUGGAUUGCGGGUACUCGAGUGGCGAACGGGUGAGUAACACGUGAGUGAUCUGCCCCCAACUUGGGUAUAAGCCUGGGAAACUGGGUCUAAUUCCCGAUAGGACUGCAGGGUGGUGCCUGUGGUGGAAAACGAUUUUCUAGUGGUUGGGGAUGAGCUCGCGGCCUAUCAGCUUGUUGGUGGGGUAAUGGCCUACCAAGGCGGCGACGGGUAGCCGGCCUGAGAGGGUGGACGGCAACAUUGGGACUGAGAUACGGCCCAGACUCCUACGGGAGGCAGCAGUGGGGAAUAGUGCACAAUGGGCGGAAGCCUGAUGCAGCGACGCCGCGUGGGGGAUGACGGCCUUCGGGUUGUAAACUCCUUUCGACCGCGAGGAAGCCACCUGGUUGGAAGGGUGGUGACGGUAGUGGUAGAAGAAGCACCGGCUAACUACGUG
rnacentral:rRNA from 1 species